AGAGUUCAAGCUGGCUGAGAAGACUAGACGAUCACCUGAGCUGUCACUGAGCUUUGGUGCCAGGAACAAUGGACAAGAUUCUGGGAGCAUCAUUUUUGGUUCUGUGGCUUCAACUAGGCUGGGUGAGUGGCCAACAGAAGGAAAAAAGGGACCAGCAGCAGGUGAAACAGAGCUCUCAACCUUUGACAGUCCAGGAAGGAGACAUUUCAAUUUUGAACUGUACUUAUGAGAACAGUGCCUUUGACUACUUCCCAUGGUACCGGCAACAUCCUGGCAAAGGACCUGAAUUAUUGAUCGCAGCACGUUCUAGUUCAAUUACAGAGGAAGAUGGAAGAUUGAGAGUUUCCCUCAGUCAAAGUGCCAAACAUGUGUCCUUGCACAUCAAUGCUUCCCAGCCUGGAGACUCAGCCACCUACUUCUGUGCAGCAAGUGCACAGUGCUCUCCAGGCACCUGCAGCCUGUACCCAAACCUGCAGCUGAGGCUCCAGCCAAACCCUGCUGUGUAGAUGAAACAGUUUCUCUC